CUCUAAUCCAACAAGACUGGUGUCCUUAAAAGAAGAGGGAAAUAUGGACACAGACAUAGACACAGAGGAAGAUGAUGUGAAGACACACAGGGAAAACAUCAUGUAAAGACAGGCUUGGAGUGGUGCACCUACAAGGCCCCUGGAAGAUUGGAUGGUGCCUGCCUAUACGGAGGGCGGAUCUUCCCCUCCUCGUCCACUCAGACUCACAUGCAAGUCUCCUCUAGAAACACCCUUGCAGACACACCCCAAAAUGACACUUUUAGAGUGUCUUCGAAGAAGGUAAAUAUUGUUCCCAUUUUGUGGAUAAGAAAAAUGAGAACCAGAGCGAUCAAGGGCUUGCUCAAAAGUACUCAACCAGUUAAUGUCAGAGCUGGCACCUGAACUCAGGCCUCUACAACUCUAAAUGUUUUCAAUGAUAGCAGAAUUGCCUCUAAUGGCAAAACAUUGUAGAAUCAUAUUGAUGUUUCAGAUUAUAUUGCCAGUCGUACUUCGUUGAGCUAUGCUUGGUAAUGCCACUGCCAUCUUGGAAAGAAAAUAGAUGCUGAAGUUCCCCAUAGAUGCUGAACACUCAGAAAGUGCCAAUAGUUGCAUCGAUUUGAUUGUAUCUGCUACCUCAUUCCCUCUGAAACACCUGCAAAUAAAGGAAAAUAACUAACCCAUUGUGCCCCCAUCUAAGAAUGCCUGAAAUCAGAAAUAUCCCAGCAUUGUGACCUGAAGUUGCCUCAGCAGGAAGUUCUGUUUUUUAAAUUAGGACUCUAGCCAUUUUUUUUCCCAGUAGCUCUUAUUGCCAGUGGGGCUUUGAGCAAACAGUUCCCAGGAAAGCUGUCUAUACCUACAUGAUAUGAAGACAAUAAUGAUACCUGCUUCCUGUCUACCUGGCAAGUGUGUUGGGAAAAGCAAUAAGAUAAUGUCUGUCAUGUGCUUUGAAUGCCUAGAAAGAAAGAUAGGGUUUAUGAGCAAGGGUGUGAUUAUAUUGAGUCAGCC
rnacentral:lncRNA from 1 species